ACGAAGGGGGCUAGCGUUGUUCGGAAUCACUGGGCGUAAAGGGCGCGUAGGCGGCUUUGUAAGUCGGGGGUGAAAGCCUGUGGCUCAACCACAGAAUUGCCUUCGAUACUGCAUGGCUUGAGACCGGAAGAGGUUAGUGGAACUGCGAGUGUAGAGGUGAAAUUCGUAGAUAUUCGCAAGAACACCAGUGGCGAAGGCGGCUCACUGGCCCGGUACUGACGCUGAGGCACGAAAGCGUGGGGAGCAAACAGG
rnacentral:rRNA from 1 species